rnacentral:tRNA from 1 species
GGAGAAAUGGCAGAGUAGGUUUAAUGCAUCUGAUUUGAGAUCAGUCAAACCUUUUAAAGUUUCGUGGGUUCAAAUCCCACUUUCUCCU